rnacentral:lncRNA from 1 species
GCGGCUUAGCAUAAUGUUAACCGAUAAAUUAUGGUGAGUAAGUAACUCUCAUCAAGCUCAAAACGUAAUUUGUUUAAUAUCAUCCAAUUUGUUUAUGGAAAUAUUGGGAACAUUUAAUAUUUGACCUAAUGCCACAUAUGAACAACAGAUAAAGCUUUUUUUUUUUUUUUUUUUUUUUGUGCACCCAACAGAUAAAGCUUUUUAUAUAAUAUAGAUGAACUGAUUUUAUAUAGUGUGAUGUAAUAAACUAAUAAGCAAUAUAGACAAAUAAAAAAGAAAUAAAAAAAAGGUUGGAGCUGUGCAGUAACUGCCGGUAAAGUGGAGAAGAUUGGAAAAACUUUAAACAAAAAAUUGCCAAGAGAGAGAGAGACGCCGACCAAAAACAAAGCCGUAGAUGUCUAUCCCCACGCGCAAUCAAACCCUUCCC